rnacentral:rRNA from 1 species
GACGAACGCUGGCGGCGUGCUUAACACAUGCAAGUCGAGCGGAAAGGCCCUUCGUGGUACUCGAGCGGCGAACGGGUGAGUAACACGUAAGUAACCUGCCCCAGCCUUUGGGAUAACCCUCGGAACCGGGAGCUAAUACCGGAUACGACACAGCUUCGCAUGGGGUCUGUGUGGAAAGUUUUUCGGCUUGGGAUGGGCUCGCGGCCUAUCAGCUUGUUGGUGGGGUGGUGGCCUACCAAGGCGACGACGGGUAGCCGGCCUGAGAGGGUGACCGGCCACACUGGGACUGAGACACGGCCCAGACUCCUACGGGAGGCAGCAGUGGGGAAUAUUGCACAAUGGGCGGAAGCCUGAUGCAGCGACGCCGCGUGCGGGAUGACGGCCUUCGGGUUGUAAACCGCUUUCGGCAGUGACGAAGCGUAAGUGACGGUACCUGCUGAAGAAGCGCCGGCCAACUACGUG